AGAUUGAACGCUGGCGGCAUGCCUUACACAUGCAAGUCGAACGGCAGCACGGGGGCAACCCUGGUGGCGAGUGGCGAACGGGUGAGUAAUAUAUCGGAACGUGCCCUGGAGUGGGGGAUAGCUCGGCGAAAGCCGGAUUAAUACCGCAUACGAUCUAUGGAUGAAAGUGGGGGAUCGCAAGACCUCAUGCUCCUGGAGCGGCCGAUAUCUGAUUAGCUAGUUGUAGGGUAAAAGCCUACCAAGGCGACGAUCAGUAGCUGGUCUGAGAGGACGACCAGCCACACUGGAACUGAGACACGGUCCAGACUCCUACGGGAGGCAGCAGUGGGGAAUUUGGACAAUGGGGGACAACCCUGAUCCAGCAAUGCCGCGUGUGUGAAGAGGCCUUCGGUUGUAAAGCAUUUUCGGACGGGAACGUAAACCGGUUCGGACUAACUACCGUGAC
rnacentral:rRNA from 1 species